GUUGUAUUAUUUCGUUCUUUUGACUGCAAUGGCUUGCUAUCUUAUACUUCUACCAUGUCCAUGUGUGGAUUUUCCCUUUUCUGUGGAUAACAAUAAAGCUAGCAUGAUAAAAAGAUUGAAAUAUCUUCUGGAAGCAUAGGUAGCUGUAUGCUAGUAGGUUGUACUGAUUCACAUGUUUCCUAUUAACUGAUAGUUAUAUGAUUUGCUUAAUUGCUUUAAUAACUUGCCUUUCUUGAAAGAACCUUUAAUCAUAUAUAGGAUAGGGCCUGUUUUCUCCCCGGAAGACAUGCCGGCAAACCAAUACAUCCUUCCUUUAGCAUGUACGAACUUUGUGCUGUACUUGCUUGUGUGUAUAUUUGCAUUGAUUAUCCCAGUAUACACAUUAAGAUCUCUAAUUUAGAGUAGGGGCGCUGGAAUCUUAAGGCAACUAAGCACUUUAAUGUUACCAGCUAUGGUAUAAAAUGAUUUUAAAAUUAUAUGUGCUCUCCUUUGACCAUGAACUCGAUUUAUAUUGCUUAUGAUCAUGUGAGCAAUUUAUUCUGUACCAUCCAUGAGUUUUGCUGUUGUGUAUGCCAAAUGCAUAACCUUAAAAAUUAUAUAUUAUCAAUUAGCACAUGAUCAGUUUAUCUUAAAAUCAU
rnacentral:lncRNA from 1 species